rnacentral:rRNA from 1 species
UACGAAGGUGGCGAGCGUUGUUCGGAUUCACUGGGCGUACAGGGAGCGUAGGCGGUUUGGGUAAGCCCUCCGUGAAAUACUCCGGGCCGUAACCCGAACGUAGCAGAGGGACGUGCUCGGCUAGAGGAUGGGAGAGGAGCGCGGAAUUCCCGGUGUAGCGGUGAAAUGCGUAGAGAUCGGGAGGAAGGCCGGUGGCGAAGGCGGCGCUCUGGAACAUUUCUGACGCUGAGGCUCGAAAGCGUGGGGAGC